rnacentral:rRNA from 1 species
AGUGAACGCUGGCGGUAGGCCUAACACAUGCAAGUCGAACGGCAGCACAGUAAGAGCUUGCUCUUACGGGUGGCGAGUGGCGGACGGGUGAGGAAUACAUCGGAAUCUACUUUUUCGUGGGGGAUAACGUAGGGAAACUUACGCUAAUACCGCAUACGACCUACGGGUGAAAGCAGGGGAUCUUCGGACCUUGCGCGAUUGAAUGAGCCGAUGUCGGAUUAGCUAGUUGGCGGGGUACAGGCCCACCAAGGCGACGAUCCGUAGCUGGUCUGAGGGGAUGUUCAGCCACACUGGAACUGAGACACGGUCCAGACGCCUACGGGAGGCAGCAGUGGGGAAUAUUGGACAAUGGGCGCAAGCCUGAUCCAGCCAUGCCGCGUGGGUGAAGAAGGCCUUCGGGUUGUAAAGCCCUUUUGUUGGGAAAGAAAAGCAGCAGGUUAAUACCCCGCUGUUCUGACGGUACCCAAAGAAUAAGCACCGGCUAACUUCGUG